ensembl:lncRNA novel transcript
GCGCGCCCACCCACAGUGGGCUGCACCGGAGGAGGCACGUGGGAGCCUGCAUUUCUGGAAAGAGUCACAUGUUGCACUAUUGAAAAGAACCCUGAAAAUACAAAUCAUUAUGGAUAAAGCUUUGUAUGCUUAUAUGGGCUCUGAUGUGACAGCUGCAGCUGAGAAAGUUGUCCAUAUCUUUGGUCUUAUCAACACUUAUUCAAAGACAGUAACUUUAGAGGGAUUUUCAGUUGUUAUGACACAGUUGCUUGGAAUUAAUCUGGGAUUGACAUAUGAUGACAUCUACAACUGUAACUGUCCAGGAGCUACAUGCGUAAUGAAUUCUAAGGCAAUUCCACAGUGUGCAAUAUUUCAGAAGAGUAGAGAGAGCUUCUCCCUUCCAACAUUCAUUUCAAUACUUGGUAGUGGAGGAAAACAUGACUGAUCUUGUGAAACUGAAUUUCCCAUCACUGUACUAUCACUGUAUCUGAGGUUGCUCAGGGUGCUCCUUAUCUGUGUUCACAAGAAGUGAAUUUGCAUGCCAACAAUUUUGGAAACUGUAAAACUAGUUCCUAUAAUUUCGAGUACACAUUUUUAAACGUAUACAUUUUUCUAACGUUGGUAUGUGCGUGUGUAUUUCAGAGGGUCACUUAAUACAAAUGAGAGAUGUAGCAUAUACAGACGUGUCCUUUGUGCAAAGCUAGUUUGUCACUGGAAAAGUACAGAACUAAUACGACAUAAAGAUGAUGAUGCUUAAUAUACUUACCUUGGAAACCAUGUAUGUGUGUCUACAUUUUUACGAAAUUCAUGUGGUAGCAUAAAGGAUAACUCCUAUGUAAAAAAUGGUACUUUUUGUGGUCUAGAAAAGUUAUGUGAUAAUGGAGUUUGCCAACUUGUGAGCACAUAUGCAGAUAGAAGACAAGGUAACUGGGAAGAAAAAUGCGGUGGACAUGGGGUUUGCAAUACUCUGAAUAAUUGUCAACGUGAUGUUGCAUAUUCUCCUCAAACUUGUAGGCAAGAUAGUUCAUCACCAGGAGGAAGUAUUGAUGAUGGGUUUUGGAUUUUAGGAAAAAGUACACCCUUGUUUGUGAAAUGACAUGCUGUUCCUCAGAAAAAUGGCCUUUAAUCAGUUGCUACAUUUUUCUACCUUUCCUCAUUUUAACUGCCAUCAUUGGUCUUAAAUGGAACAAAAUGAAGGGAUUUUGACACUGAGCAAAAAGUGUAAGUGGAAGAAGACAGCAGUAGUAGCAGCAACAGUAACAGCAGUAGUGACAGCAACCAGUCAUAGAGUAACUACAUGAUAACAUCAAAAGCCAUAAGAUAGAGAAAGGAUAUUACCAAGAAACUUACCAUUAACUGGCUUGAUUCAACAAUGAAAACAAAAAUCGCCUUUUUUCUCCUUUCAUUAUGGCUUAAAGCUUUCAAUUGCACAAACAAAAUAAAUUAUAUGACAGGAAGUA